GCACCCCAGUUUCUAUCAAGUAUCUGAAAGAAGAACAUAUUACUAUAUUACCAAAAAUGGAAAGUAAACAGUGUGGAGCAAUAGGAGAGAGAACUAGUUUUGAAUUGAAAUUAGAGUAGAUUAAACUACAUUUAAUAAGGAAAGUUAUUAAAUAAGGAAAAUUACCUAAAUAACUGAAUUACGUCCACCUUUAACAAGUAAAUUACCUAAAUAAGGCUACACAUUGUAAAUGUUUUACCAUGUGUCACAAUCUUCAUGCUUCGUCGUAGCACGAUGAAAUAUGUGAUAAAAAUUAAUAUUAUGUACAUCCACCUUCAUCUCUAAUAUCUUUGAAUCCACUCUAUCAAAACUCAAUUUUCAAACUCUAUGAAUUUUCUUGAUUUAGAGCAAACAACAACGUUAUAUUCCAUCUUGUUGGGCUAUGACCCCCUUACUAAUCCAUCUUGACUUAAGAAAGUUUUGCACGAGCCGAGUCAUGACUCAUUUAUGAAAGUUUUGCACGAGCCGAGUCAUGAAUCAUUUAUUAACUGAACCACUUUAUCUUCAUAACUGUCCAUUUGCCGCCUUUUUGAGAAAUGUGAUAAGUGACACUACUUGGUAGUUGACUAGCAUAAAAGAACCUUCAUAGUUAUGUUUAUGGAAAGAAAUAGAUGAAGUUAAUAAAAACAUAGUCUACAAAAG
rnacentral:lncRNA from 1 species